rnacentral:rRNA from 1 species
GAUGAACGCUAGCGGGGGGCUUAACACAUGCAAGUCGAACGCUCCUUCGGGAGAGUGGCAGACGGGUGCGUAACACGUGCUUAACUUGCCCUGGAGUGGGGAAUAACUGUUGAAAGGCAGCUAAUUCCGCAUACGCUCUACAAAAUGAAAAUAUGUAGAGGAAAGAUUUAUCGCUCUAGGAGAGGGGUGCGGCCUAUUAGCUUGUUGGUAAGGUAAUGGCUUACCAAGGCAAUGAUGGGUAGCUGGUCUGAGAGGAUGAUCAGCCACAAUGGGACUGAGACACGGCCCAUACCCCUACGGGGGGCAGCAGUGGGGAAUAUUGCGCAAUGGAGGAAACUCUGACGCAGCCACCCCGCGUGAAGGAUGAAGCAUUACGGUGUGUAAACUUCUUUUCUGGUGGAAGACGACUGACGGUACACCAGGAAUAAGGGACGGCUAACUACG